rnacentral:rRNA from 1 species
UGGGGAAUUUUGGACAAUGGACGCAAGUCUGAUCCAGCCAUGCCGCGUGCGGGAAGAAGGCCUUCGGGUUGUAAACCGCUUUUGUCAGGGAAGAAACGAGUUUCUCUAAUACAGAGACUUAAUGACGGUACCUGAAGAAUAAGCACCGGCUAACUACGUGCCAGCAGCCGCGGUAAUACGUAGGGUGCAAGCGUUAAUCGGAAUUACUGGGCGUAAAGCGUGCGCAGGCGGUUGUGUAAGUCAGAUGUGAAAUCCCCGGGCUCAACCUGGGAAUUGCAUUUGAGACUGCACGGCUAGAGUGUGUCAGAGGGGGGUAGAAUUCCACGUGUAGCAGUGAAAUGCGUAGAUAUGCGGAGGAACACCGAUGGCGAAGGCAAUCCCCUGGACCUGUACUGACGCUCAUGCACGAAAGCGUGGGGAGCAAACA